rnacentral:rRNA from 1 species
AUACGGAGGGUGCAAGCGUUGUUCGGAAUCACUGGGCGUAAAGCGCGCGUAGGUGGACUAAUCAGUUGAGGGUGAAAUCCCGGGGCUCAACCUCGGAACUGCCUUCAAUACUGUUAGUCUUGAGACCGAGAGAGGUGAGUGGAAUUCCUAGUGUAGAGGUGAAAUUCGUAGAUAUUAGGAAGAACACCAGUGGCGAAGGCGGCUCACUGGCUCGGUACUGACGCUGAGGUGCGAAAGCGUGGGGAGCAAACAGGAUUAGAAACCCCAGUAGUCC